rnacentral:rRNA from 1 species
UACGUAGGGUGCGAGCGUUGCCGGAAUUAUUGGGCGUAAAGGGCUCGUAGGCGGUUUGUCGCGUCGGGAGUGAAAACCUCGGGCUUAACUCGGGGCUUGCUUUCGAUACGGGCAGACUAGAGGUAUGCAGGGGAGAACGGGAAUUCCUGGUGUAGCGGUGAAAGUGCGCAGAUAUCAGGCAGGAACACCGGUGGGCGAAGGCGGUUCUCUGGGCAUGAUCUGACGCUGAGGAGCGAAAGUGUGGGGAGCGAACAGG